rnacentral:rRNA from 1 species
CGCGUUGGCCCAAUUGAUUGAUGGUGCUUGCACCUGAUUGAUUUUCGUUGCCAACGAGUGGCGGACGGGUGAGUAACACGUAGGUAACCUGCCCAGAAGCGGGGGACAACAUUUGGAAACAGAUGCUAAUACCGCAUAACAGCGUUGUUCGCAUGAACAACGCUUAAAAGAUGGCUUCUCGCUAUCACUUCUGGAUGGACCUGCGGUGCAUUAGCUUGUUGGUGGGGUAACGGCCUACCAAGGCGAUGAUGCAUAGCCGAGUUGAGAGACUGAUCGGCCACAAUGGGACUGAGACACGGCCCAUACUCCUACGGGAGGCAGCAGUAGGGAAUCUUCCACAAUGGGCGCAAGCCUGAUGGAGCAACACCGCGUGAGUGAAGAAGGGUUUCGGCUCGUAAAGCUCUGUUGUUAAAGAAGAACACGUAUGAGAGUAACUGUUCAUACGUUGACGGUAUUUAACCAGAAAGUCACGGCUAACUACGUGCCAGCAGCCGCGGUAAUACGUAGGUGGCAAGCGUUAUCCGGAUUUAUUGGGCGUAAAGAGAGUGCAGGCGGUUUUCUAAGUCUGAUGUGAAAGCCUUCGGCUUAACCGGAGAAGUGCAUCGGAAACUGGAUAACUUGAGUGCAGAAGAGGGUAGUGGAACUCCAUGUGUAGCGGUGGAAUGCGUAGAUAUAUGGAAGAACACCAGUGGCGAAGGCGGCUACCUGGUCUGCAACUGACGCUGAGACUCGAAAGCAUGGGUAGCGAACAGGAUUAGAUACCCUGGUAGUCCAUGCCGUAAACGAUGAGUGCUAGGUGUU